AAUGUGUAGUCGUCGGGUAGCUAGUCUAUUCGGUGAUGCAGCUAACGCCAUUAAACAUUCCGCCUGGGGAGUACGGUCGCAAGAUUAAAACUCAAAGGAAUAGACGGGGACCCGCACAGUUGGUGGAGCAUGUGGUUUAAUUCGAAGAUACGCGAAGAACCUUACCUAGCCUUGACAUAUAUUAGAACAUUUUAGAGAUAGAAUGGUGCCUUCGGGAGCUUUUAUACAGGUGCUGCACGGCUGUCGUCAGCUCGUGUCGUGAGAUGUUGGGUUAAGUCCCGCAACGAGCGCAACCCUCGUCACUAGUUACUAACGGUUCGGCCGAGGACUCUAGUGAGACUGCCUUCGCAAGGAGGAGGAAGGUGAGGACGACGUCAAGUCAUCAUGGCCCUUACGGCUAGGGCAACACACGUGCUACAAUGGUUGGGACAAUGAGACGCAAUACCGCGAGGUGGAGCAAAUCUAUAAACCCAAUCUCAGUUCGGAUUGUUCUCUGCAACUCGAGAACAUGAAGCUGGAAUCACUAGUAAUCGUAGAUCAGCAAUGCUACGGUGAAUACGUUCCCGGGUCUUGUACUCACCGCCCGUCACACCAUGGGAGUAGAUUUCACCCGAAGCGGGGAAGCUAAACUGGCUACCCUCCACGGUGGCAUUAGCGAC
rnacentral:rRNA from 1 species